rnacentral:rRNA from 1 species
AUUGAACGCUGGCGGAAUGCUUUACACAUGCAAGUCGAACGGUAGCACGGACUUCGGUCUGGUGGCGAGUGGCGAACGAGUGAGUAAUGUAUCGGAACGUGCCCAGUCGUGGGGGAUAACGUAGUGAAAAUUACGCUAAUACCGCAUACGCUCUAGGGAUGAAAGCGGGGGAUCGCAAGACCUCGCGCGAUUGGAGCGGCCGAUAUCAGAUUAGGUAGUUGGUGGGGUAAAGGCCCACCAAGCCAACGAUCUGUAGCUGGUCUGAGAGGACGACCAGCCACACUGGAACUGAGACACGGUCCAGACCCCUACGGGAGGCAGCAGUGGGGAAUUUUGGACAAUGGGCGAAAGCCUGAUCCAGCCAUUCCGCGUGCAGGAUGAAGGCCCUCGGGUUGUAAACUGCUUUUGUACAGAACGAAAAGGUUUCUACUAAUACUAGGAGCUCAUGACGGUACUGUAAGAAUAAGCACCGGCUAACUACGUGCCAGCCGCCGCGGUAA